rnacentral:rRNA from 1 species
AACGAACGCUGGCGGCAUGCCUAACACAUGCAAGUCGAACGAACCCUUCGGGGUUAGUGGCGCACGGGUGCGUAACGCGUGGGAAUCCGCCCUUUGCUUCGGAAUAACAGUUAGAAAUGACUGCUAAUACCGGAUGAUGUCUUCGGACCAAAGAUUUAUCGGCAAAGGAUGAGCCCGCGUAGGAUUAGGUAGUUGGUGGGGUAAAGGCCUACCAAGCCGACGAUCCUUAGCUGGUCUGAGAGGAUGAUCAGCCACACUGGGACUGAGACACGGCCCAGACUCCUACGGGAGGCAGCAGUGGGGAAUAUUGGACAAUGGGCGCAAGCCUGAUCCAGCAAUGCCGCGUGAGUGAUGAAGGCCUUCGGGUCGUAAAGCUCUUUUACCAGGGAUGAUAAUGACAGUACCUGGAGAAUAAGCUCCGGCUAACUCCGUGCCAGCAGCCGCCGUAAGAC